ACACACACACACACACACACACACACACACACACACACACACACACACACACACACACACACACACACACACACACACACACACACACCCACUGUCGCCUGGCUGAGUUGUUCAUGCAGAUAAUGACAUUAUAUCUGUCCUCUCCUCUGUGUGAUAUGCCUGUCUAGAGCGAGAGAGAUGGAGACAGAGAGAGGAGAGAGAGAGUCUGUACAUUCACUCUUUCAUCCUUUCUUUCUCUCUGUAGUAACUGAUUGAGAGUGGGAGAGAGUGAGAUAGAGGGGGGUAGUUCUACAGUUCUAACUCUAUAGGUUGUCCUCUGUCUCCCUGUAGAGAAUGUUCAGCUAGUUCUACAGUUCUAACUCUAUAGGUUGUCCUCUGUCUCCCUGUAGAGAAUGUUCAGCUAGUUCUACAGUUCUAACUCUAUAGGUUGUCCUCUGUCUCCCUGUAGAGAAUGUUCAGCUAGUUCUACAGUUCUAACUCUAUAGGUUGUCCUCUGUCUCCCUGUAGAGAAUGUUCAGGUAGUUCUACAGUUCUAACUCUAUAGGUUGUCCUCUGUCUCCCUGUAGAGAAUGUUCAGGUAGUUCUACAGUUCUAACUCUAUAGGUUGUCCUCUGUCUCCCUGUAGAGAAUGUUCAGGUAGUUCUACAGUUCUAACUCUAUAGGUUGUCCUCUGUCUCCCUGUAGAGAAUGUUCAGGUAGUUCUACAGUUCUAACUCUAUAGGUUGCCCUCUGUCUCCCUGUAGAGAAUGUUCAGGUAGUUCUACAGUUCUAACUCUAUAGGUUGUCCUCUGUCUCCCUGUAGAGAAUGUUCAGGUAGUUCUACAGUUCUACCUCUAUAGGUUGUCCUCUGUCUCCCUGUAGAGAAUGUUCAGGUAGUUCUACAGUUCUAACUCUGUAGGUUGUCCUCUGUCUCCCUGUAGAGAAUGUUCAAGUAGUUCUACAGUUCCUCACUGUUUACCCCUCUCCUCCACCAUAGAGAAUAUUCAGGUAGUUCUACAGUUCCUCAUUGUUUACCCCUCUCCUCCACCAUAGAGAAUGUUCAGGUAGUUCUACAGUUCCUCAUUGUUUACCCCUCUCCUCCACCAUAGAGAAUGUUCAGGUAGUUCUACAGUUCCUCAUUGUUUACCCCUCUCCUCCACCAUAGAGAAUGUUCAGGUAGUUCUACAGUUCCUCAUUGUUUACCCCUCUCCUCCACCAUAGAGAAUGUUCAGGUAGUUCUACAGUUCCUCAUUGUUUACCCCUCUCCUCCACCAUAGAGAAUGUUCAGGUAGUUCUACAGUUCCUCAUUGUUUACCCCUCUCCUCCACCAUAGAGAAUGUUCAGGUAGUUCUACAGUUCCUCAUUGUUUACCCCUCUCCUCCACCAUAGAGAAUGUUCAGGUAGUUCUACAGUUCCUCAUUGUUUACCCCUCUCCUCCACCAUAGAGAAUGUUCAGGUAGUUCUACAGUUCCUCAUUGUUUACCCCUCUCCUCCACCAUAGAGAAUGUUCAGGUAGUUCUACAGUUCCUCAUUGUUUACCCCUCUCCUCCACCAUAGAGAAUGUUCAG